UACGUAGGGUGCAAGCGUUGUCCGGAAUUAUUGGGCGUAAAGAGCUCGUAGGCGGUCUGUCACGUCGGACGUGAAAAUCCAGGGCUCAACCCUGGACCUGCGUUCGAUACGGGCAGACUAGAGUUCGGUAGGGGAGACUGGAAUUCCUGGUGUAGCGGUGAAAUGCGCAGAUAUCAGGAGGAACACCGGUGGCGAAGGCGGGUCUCUGGGCCACUACUGACGCUGAGGCGCGAAAGCUAGGGGAGCAAACAGG
rnacentral:rRNA from 1 species